rnacentral:misc_RNA from 1 species
GAUGAAGAACGUAGCGAAAUGCGAUAAGUAAUGUGAAUUGCAGAAUUCAGUGAAUCAUCGAAUCUUUGAACGCACAUUGCGCCCGUCAGUAUUCUGGCGGGCAUGCCUGUUCGAGCGUCAUUACGCCCCUCAAGUCCCCUGUGGACUUGGUGUUGGGGAUCGGCGAGGCUGGUUUUCCAGCACAGCCGUCCCUUAAAUUAAUUGGCGGUCUCGCCGUGGCCCUCCUCUGCGCAGUAGUAAAACACUCGCAACAGGAGCCCGGCGCGGUCCACUGCCGUAAAACCCCCCAACUUUUUAUAGUUGACCUCGGAUCAGGUAGGAAUACCCGCUGAACUUAAGCAUAUCAAUAAGCGGAGGA